UCUAAGUUAUCUUGUCAACGAUAUUUGAAUUUUGAAUUUUACCGGUCGCCAUUGCCAAAACGGCUACCGGGCUACCAACGUCCAGAAGAGAGGACAUCGGAUGGCUUCUGAAAGCAUUGUUUCGAUGGACGUCUUUCCUCUGACCUGUUACCAAGACAGCUGGAUGUGUAAGAAGUUGGAACUAAGUCACUGAAGAAGUAAACCGUUGAAAACCGAUUUGGAUUGUCUGAGAGAUGACACAAGUAAAAGGAGAAGAAUGCUGCUCAGCUGGGUUGGCGAAGCUCUUGGAUAUCAUCAGCACAUGUAUGAAGCACAGAGUCAUUCCGGUAGGCACAGAGUUGUUCCUCGAUGGACGUGAUGACCUGGCACCAAAACCGCUUAAUGUGUAUGAGGCUGUGUCUGCAUCGAGGGAAGAACCCAGCACUGAAAUGACACAAAUGAAAGAAGAGUACUUCUGCUCUGCUGGGUCUGCGACACUACUUAUCCGAGGAGUCCUCAAACAUCAGGAUGUAGGAAGACACAAGUAAAAGGAGAAGAAUGCUGCUCAGCUGGGUUGGCGAAGCUCUUGGAUAUCAUCAGCACAUGUAUGAAGCACAGAGUCAUUCCGGUAGGCACAGAGUUGUUCCUCGAUGGACGUGAUGACCUGGCACCAAAACCGCUUAAUGUGUAUGAGGCUGUGUCUGCAUCGAGGGAAGAACCCAGCACUGAAAUGACACAAAUGAAAGAAGAGUACUUCUGCUCUGCUGGGUCUGCGACACUACUUAUCCGAGGAGUCCUCAAACAUCAGGAUGUAGGAAGACACAAGUAAAAGGAGAAGAAUGCUGCUCAGCUGGGUCGGUGGUCACACUACUGAUUCAAGAAGCUCUUGGAUAUCAUCGGCAUGUAUAAAGCACAGUCAUUCCGGUAUGCACGGAGUCGUUCCUCGAUGGACGUGAUGACCUGGCACCAAAACCGCUUAAUUUGUAUGAAGCUGUGUCUGCAUCGAGGGAAGAACCCAGCACUGAAAUGACACAAAUGAAAGAGGACGUCUUCUCUGCUGGGUGUGCGACACUACUUAUUCUAGGAAUCCUCAAACAUCAGGAUGUAGGAAACUUAUGGUGAGAUGCCAAGAGCCGCCAUGAGGGAUAUGCAACCUGCAGCUUCACCAUGCUUUUGGGAGAUCAUCUACUACGUGAACCUUGAGUAUCUACAAGCCAGCUACUUUAAGUUCUUGAAAGGGUAGUGAUGUCAUUCAAGCCAGAUCACGAGACAAGGUCCUGUACAAACUGUCAAUCUAAAUGUUGCGACAUCCCUGUCAGUUCUUUUGGACUGAAUACAUGCUGUGUUUGAAAUAUAUUAUUCGGAUAACUCCCCAUCAGAGAAUACCUUGUCUGUUAAUGACGGAUGGACAUGCCAUUGACAUGCCGUGCACACUUUGAUGUUUUUUAUUUUAAUGUUUUCUAUGUUUUCCAAUGUUCUUUUUUUAUUUAUGUUCUGUUAUAUGCUGGUUAUGUAAGUACUGUAUGGAAUGUAGUGACUGUAGAGACCAAGACAAAUUUCAACCUGGGGACAAAAAGUUCACACCACUCUGUUAGCGCAGUUAUGGAUACACUGUAAAUUUUGUAAUUAACCAAAAGUACGGUGAGAAGCCUGUUUGUGCAGAUGGACCUGCUGGCGGGCCUGUUUACUCAUAGCUAAAAAGCAACAUAUUAUCUGUGCAAAAGCACAUGGGCUCUUCGAAAAGGGGUUAAACAUUUUAAUGUGCUGUUUUACAGUGUGCUAUACAAAAGGUAAGGUGAAACUAAUUUUUUGAAAUUCUAUAAUUGUACAGUGUCACUGAAAUCAAAUGGUGCAUUGGUAAAACUGAACCAUUUCCUUUAAUCCCGUUUAGCAGAGCCUAUGUUUGAACUAUACUGUCACCAAUAUUGUAAUGACUGAGUUUUAACCUGUUACUUAAGGCUCUUGGUAAUGUCAUAGCAAUGUUGCUAUGAUGUAGUUGAGUCUUUUCAGUCAUGAGUGAUCAGUCUUGCUGAUAACCCGUCUUUGCAAAGAGGCUACAAAGAUGCAUGUAAAUUCAAUUAAGGUUUUAUUGCUCCAAUGCUAUCAUGUGUUAAUGCUACACUGCUGUGAUUUGCAUCUUUAUAGUAUACUUUUAUGAAAUGUAUUGUUAAUUAUCUUCAUUGUUCAGCAAUAAAAAAAAGAUCUGAAAUAUUA